AGUGAACGCUGGCGGUAGGCCUAACACAUGCAAGUCGAACGGCAGCACAGGAGAGCUUGCUCUCUGGGUGUCGAGUGGCGGACGGGUGAGGAAUACAUCGGAAUCUACCUUUUCGUGGGGGAUAACGUAGGGAAACUUACGCUAAUACCGCAUACGACCUACUGGUGAAAGUGGGGGCCCGCAAGGCCUCACGACAUUAGAUGAGCCGAUGUCCGAUUAGCUAGUUGGCGGGGUAAUGGCCCACCAAGGCGACGAGCGGUAGCUGGUCUGAGAGGAUGAUCAGCCACACUGGAACUGAGACACGGUCCAGACUCCUACGGGAGGCAGCAGUUGGGAAUAUUGGACAAUGGGCGCAAGCCUGAUCCAGCCAUACCGCGUGGGUGAAGAAGGCCUUCGGGUUGUAAAGCCCUUUUGUUGGGAAAGAAAUCCUAUCGGUUAAUAACCGGUGGGGAUGGCGGUACCCAAAGAAUAAGCACCGGCUAACUUCGUGCCAGCCGCCGCGGUAAGAC
rnacentral:rRNA from 1 species